UAAGGUAGUUAUAGCACGGGGGAUCCACCUCUUCCCAUUCCGAACAGAGAAGUUAAGCCCCGUAACGCCGAUGGUACUGCUGA
rnacentral:rRNA from 1 species